GAGCGCCGAUCUUUCUCUCAUACUACUUUAUGUAGAAGAGGUUCUGCUCCUAUCAGGAGUCAAAAGAAUGGAAGUGCACACGUUAGAUAACUCUGUGCAGUUACACUUACAAUCUUUUGGCCUCCAAUCAAGCAAGGCUACCCGCUGAACUUAAGCAUAUCAAUAAGCGGAGGAAAAGAAACCAACAGGGAUUGCCUUAGUAGCGGCGAGUGAACAGGCAAGAGCUCAGAUUUGAAAGCCUUUCGGGGCAUUGUAUUCUGAAGCCUUGGUCCUGGGAAACCGAUGUCUAAGUCUUCUGGAAAGGAGCGCCAUGGAGGGUGAUAGCCCCGUACGACAUUGACCCCACUGUAGGACCUUGGCAUGGAGUCGAGUUGUUUGGGAAUGCAGCUCAAAUGGGUGGUAUGCUCCAUCUAAAGCUAAAUAUCUGCGAGAGACCGAUAGCGAACAAGUACUGUGAAGGAAAGAUGAAAAGAACUUUGAAAAGAGAGUGAAAAAGUACGUGAAAUUGUUGAAAUGGAAGGGUAGGCCGCUAACCACGUAGAGUCGUGUUUGGGGGGAAGAUAAAAGCUGAAGAAUGUAACUCCUUGGAGUAUUAUAGCUUCAGUCCAUAUUCCCACCCGAGCGCGAGGACUUAAGACUCUGCUAAAUGGUGGUCUACCACCCGUCUUGAAACACGGACCAAGGAGUCUAUUGCCUG
rnacentral:rRNA from 1 species